CACUAGCAUUAACACCAUGUGCGACUAGCUAGCUUGCAGUGUGUGGUGGCCGGUGCUUCAUGACAUCAGCAUCAAUUCGCCGGACUGGUUGGGCAACUAUCAAAAAAAAUUUCAUCCAAGGGCACGACGCAGACUACAUACGUACAUAUAUUUCCACAAUUCUCCUAGGGUUAUUUUGCUGGACGCGCUGAGCCUAUUUUGAGGGAAUCACCAACAAAAAACCUCAUGUAGGAAGGAGAAGAAAGAAAUCGGACCAUCGGGUGGGGCACCUUCUAAAUGGCCUCUUUAUAUGGAGAUGCAUCAGCUUUUAGCACCGUAUAAAAGCUACAAUUCCGAAACCCUGGUCGAAGAAAGCCUCCGAGUAUAUUUCUGACAUGAAAAACCGCUUCUCAUAAAUAUAUUCGCCGUUCCGAGUCAGCGUAAAACUGUAGGUCCUUCCCUCCCCUUUGUGUGACAACACCAAGGCGCACGCCACGAAUCGGAGGAGAAGCUCGGCUGAAAACUAACAAAUUACGUUAGAGCCAAUCUAUUAUUAUCAGGUAUGUUCUGCAAAUGAUUUCAAAUCGGUGCGAUUUGCAAAUUAUUGUUGUAGGUAUAUUUGAAAUCAAAUUAUUAAAUGUAUCAAAUGGAAACUGCUAAAAACAUAUCCUUUACGUUAUAGCCGUCGAUUUACUGCCAAAUGUUUCACUCUUUUGUUAUAAAUCCUCAGAAAUAGAUUUUGUAAAUCGCGCCGAUUUGAAAUCAUUUGCAGAACAUACCUGUAUGUUAUUAUUAUCAGUUUAUUUUAUGUCAGAAUCAUAAACAUUAACAAAUACAAAUUUACCUUUUAUAUGAA